CGACCACCUCACGUUGAAACAUCGGUUCCCCUAUGAUAAGCGAAGUUAAGCAACGUCGAGCCUUGUUAGUACCAAGAUGGGCGACCGCUUCUGAAUAUCACGUGCUGUAAG